rnacentral:rRNA from 1 species
AAUCAACGCUGGCGGCGUGCCUCAGACAUGCAAGUCGAACGCGAAAGUUUCCUUCGGGGAACAAGUAGAGUGGCGCACGGGUGAGUAACACGUAGGUAAUCUACCUUUGGAUGGGGAAUAACAACCGGAAACGGUUGCUAAUACCGCAUAAUGCAGCGGCACCUAAUGGUGACAGUUGUUAAAGCGGGGGAUCGAAAGACCUCGCGUCUGAAGAGGAGCCUGCGGCGGAUUAGCUAGNGGUAAGGUAAUGGCUUACCAAGGCGACGAUCCGUAACCGGCCUGAGAGGGCGGUCGGUCACACUGACACUGACAUACGGGUCAGACUCCUACGGGAGGCAGCAGUCGGGAAUUUUGGGCAAUGGGCGAAAGCCUGACCCAGCAACGCCGCGUGAAGGAUGAAAUCCCUCGGGAUGUAAACUUCGCAAGAACGGGAAGAAUAAGCGAGAGUUAAUAUCUUUCGUGAUGACGGUACCGUUUGUAAGCUCCGG